rnacentral:tRNA from 1 species
GAGGGUAUAGCUCAAGUGGUAGAGCGCAUGCUUAGCAUGCAUGAGGUCCUGGGUUCAAUCCUCAGUACCUCCC